UACGUAGGGUGCGAGCGUUAAUCGGAAUUACUGGGCGUAAAGUGUGCGCAGGCGGCCGAGCAAGUCGAGUGUGAAAGCCCCGAGCUUAACUUGGGAAUUGCGCUCGAAACUACUUGGCUGGAGUGUGGCAGAGGAAGGUGGAAUUCCAGGUGUAGCGGUGAAAUGCGUAGAUAUCAAGAGGAACACCAGUGGCGAAGGCGAGUCCCUGGACAAUACCUGACACUGAGGCACGAAAGCCAAGGGAGCAAACAGG
rnacentral:rRNA from 1 species